rnacentral:rRNA from 1 species
UACAGAGGGUGCAAACGUUGCUCGGAAUCAUUGGGCGUAAAGAGCUCGUAGGCGGCUUGUCGCGUCGACUGUGAAAGCCCCGGGCUCAACCUGGGAAUGGCAGUGGAAACUAGGGGACUGGAAUCUGGCAGAGGGGGGUGGAAUGCCGCGUGGUAGCAGUGAAAUGCGUAGAGAUGCGGCGGAACACCGAUGGCGAAGGCAGCCCCCUGGGCUGAGAUUGACGCUCAGGCACGGAAAGCGUGGGGAGCAAACAGG